AUACCAUGCAGUGAGGACUUCAGCCUGAUCAAAUCUAAUUGCUGAGAGUUUUGACCAAUCGUAUGUGUGUGUGUGGUUCUUUUUCAGACCUGAUAGUUAAUCUUGUCAGUGAAUGCAAGUCACAUGCCAUAGGUUGUGUGUAUCCGUAAACUUAAAAUCUAGUGUACUGUAGGUCUGAAUAACUGUUUUGAACCUUUAGGAGCCAGAUGCUGACUUCCUCCUAUCCUGCUUUGUGCCGGUUCUGAGUGGAAAGGGAACUUGUCGCUGGCAUCUUGAAUCUCAAAUCAUGAACCACAUGCAGGACUUCUUGAAGAGAUUGAGUCGACAGGUCAAACUGAUGGGAUGCAGCCAGAGGAUGAGAUGCAGGAAAACAAGUGUACAGGACCAAUGGAAGGCAAACGACAAUAUGAGCGAGUAACCAUCCCAUCCGUCAUGCAGUGGUUGAGCGGCCAAGCCCACGUGGUCUUACUACCAAGAGAAAGGAGAGAUUUUAUCAUCAAUGUCCUCUUUGAUCAUGACUGUCUUGUGUGCAUCCCUAGUUACAGUUUGUGUUUUCCUACAGUAAGUGCUUGCUCAAAAACUGUCACGUUACCAACUGCACACGAGAACCUAUGCAGAGUUUAAUCAUGUCUUCACACAGGCAAUUUGC